UGGGGAAUUUUGGACAAUGGGCGAAAGCCUGAUCCAGCAAUGCCGCGUGUGUGAAGAAGGCCUUCGGGUUGUAAAGCACUUUUGUCCGGAAAGAAAUCCUUGGCUCUAAUACAGUCGGGGGAUGACGGUACCGGAAGAAUAAGCACCGGCUAACUACGUGCCAGCAGCCGCGGUAAUACGUAGGGUGCAAGCGUUAAUCGGAAUUACUGGGCGUAAAGCGUGCGCAGGCGGUUUGCUAAGACCGAUGUGAAAUCCCCGGGCUCAACCUGGGAACUGCAUUGGUGACUGGCAGGCUAGAGUAUGGCAGAGGGGGGUAGAAUUCCACGUGGUAGCAGUGAAAUGCGUAGAGAUGUGGAGGAAUACCGAUGGCGAAGGCAGCCCCCUGGGCCAAUACUGACGCUCAUGCACGAAAGCGUGGGGGAGCAAAACAGGAUUAGAUACCCCUGGUAGUCCACGCCCUAAAACGAUGUCAACUAGUUGUUGGGGAUUCAUUUCCUUAGUAACGUAGCUAACGCGUGAAGUUGACCGCCU
rnacentral:rRNA from 1 species